GAGUUUGAUCAUGGCUCAGAACGAACGCUGGCGGCAUGCCUAACACAUGCAAGUCGAACGAUCACUUCGGUGAUAGUGGCGCACGGGUGCGUAACGCGUGGGAAUCUACCCUUGGGUUCGGAAUAACAGUUAGAAAUGACUGCUAAUACCGGAUGAUGACGUAAGUCCAAAGAUUUAUCGCCCAAGGAUGAGCCCGCGUAGGAUUAGCUAGUUGGUGAGGUAAAGGCUCACCAAGGCGACGAUCCUUAGCUGGUCUGAGAGGAUGAUCAGCCACACUGGGACUGAGACACGGCCCAGACUCCUACGGGAGGCAGCAGUGGGGGAAUAUUGGACAAUGGGCGAAAGCCUGAUCCAGCAAUGCCGCGUGAGUGAUG
rnacentral:rRNA from 1 species